UGGGGAAUAUUGCACAAUGGGCGCAAGCCUGAUGCAGCCAUGCCGCGUGUGUGAAGAAGGCCUUCGGGUUGUAAAGCACUUUUGUCCGGAAAGAAAUCCUUGGCUCUAAUACAGUCGGGGGAUGACGGUACCGGAAGAAUAAGCACCGGCUAACUACGUGCCAGCAGCCGCGGUAAUACGUAGGGUGCAAGCGUUAAUCGGAAUUACUGGGCGUAAAGCGUGCGCAGGCGGUUUGCUAAGACCGAUGUGAAAUCCCCGGGCUCAACCUGGGAACUGCAUUGGUGACUGGCAGGCUAGAGUAUGGCAGAGGGGGGUAGAAUUCCACGUGUAGCAGUGAAAUGCGUAGAGAUGUGGAGGAAUACCGAUGGCGAAGGCAGCCCCCUGGGCCAAUACUGACGCUCAUGCACGAAAGCGUGGGGAGCAAAACAGGAUUAGAUACCCUGGUAGUCCACGCCCUAAACGAUGUCAACUAGUUGUUGGGGAUUCAUUUCCUUAGUAACGUAGCUAACGCGUGAAGUUGACCGCCU
rnacentral:rRNA from 1 species